rnacentral:rRNA from 1 species
GCGGAGGAAAAGAAAAUAACAAUGAUUUCCCUAGUAACGGCGAGUGAAGAGGAAAGAGCUCAAAGUUGGAACCUGUUUGGCCUAGCUAAACAGGAUUGUAAACUGUAGAAGUGUUUUCCAGGCAAUCCGAGUUAACAAGUCCUUUGGAACAGGGCAUCAUAGAGGGUGAGAAUCCCGUCUUUGAUUCGAGAAUUUUUUGCCUUUUGCGAUACACUUUCAAAGAGUCAGGUUGUUUGGGAAUGCAGCCUAAAUUGGGUGGUAAAUCUCACCUAAAGCUAAAUAUUGGCGAGAAACCGAUAGCGAACAAGUACCGUGAGGGAAAGAUGAAAAGAACUUUGAAAAGAGAGUUAAACAGUAUGUGAAAUUGUUAAAAGGGAACCGUUUGGAGCCAGACUGGCUUGUCUGUAAUCAAUCUAGGCUUUGGCCUGGAUGCACUUGCAGACUAUGCCUGCCAACGACAAUUUGAUUUGAGGGAAAAAACUAGAGGAAAUGUGGCCAGCUUUUUUUUGUUGGUGUUAUAGUCCUUUAGAAAAUACCUUGGAUUGGAUUGAGGAACGCAGCGAAUGCUCUUGUGGCGAGUCUUUGAUAAGUCUUUACAGAUAUGACUGGGUGUU